rnacentral:rRNA from 1 species
UACGAAGGGGCUAGCGUUGCUCGGAAUCACUGGGCGUAAAGCGCACGUAGGCGGAUUGCUAAGUCAGGGGUGAAAUCCUGGAGCUCAACUCCAGAACUGCCUUUGAUACUGGCAACCUUGAGUCCGGGAGAGGUGAGUGGAACUGGCGAGUGUAGAGGUGAAAUUCGUAGAUAUUCGCAAGAACACCAGUGGCGAAGGGCGGCUCACUGGCCCGGUACUGACGCUGAGGUGCGAAAGCGUGGGGAGCAACAGGG